ACACGAAGAGCACCACACAGAGCGGCAGGUAGAAGGCGCCUACGGUGGAGAACACGGCGUAGGAAGGCUCGCGGCUUACCUGGCACUCCUCGCUGCCCUCAGAGUACGUCUCUCCCCAGCCAAAAAGCAGCGGGGCCAGAGAGAUGACAGCGGAGAGUGCCCAGGUGAGCGCGAUCAUGACGUUGGAGACGCACUUGCGGGUGCGGAGCGUGUAUUCCAUGUGGCGCGUGAUGGACCAGUAGCGGUCCAGGGCUAUGGCCGUCACGUUCCAGAUGCUGGCCGUGCAGCAAAGCACGUCGCACGCGAUCCAAAGCUGGCACAGCCUCCGACCUAGCUGCCAGCGGCGCCCGGACAGCUCGUGCACCAGGCUCAGCGGCAUGACCAGCGCGGCCACCAGGACAUCCGAGACGGCCAUGGAUGCCACCAGGUUGUGGGGCACGCGGUGGAAGGUGCGUACACGGAGGAUGGUCGCCAGCACCAGCAGGUUCCAGGCGAACGUCGCCGCCACCAGAAAGCCCAGCAAGAGUAAAACAAGUAUCAGGAGAAUGCACUGAGAAAAGAGAAAGUCCUCCACUGGAACCUAGAGGACGGGACAACAUCAUUAAAUACCGGAUUAUUCACAGGGCUGUUUCAAACACCACUUAAAAACAGCUGAUGGUGACUGCCUGCAUGCAGAGCAACUGUGCAUGGCCCCAAUCUGGAAGCAAGCUUGUGCUUCUUUAAGGCAAAUCACCUUCUUGAGGUCAUGGAACUAAUGGGAAUGAGAUGUAAACUAUGAAUCCUCUUCUUUGGAAAAAGUUCUGCAUCUAGUCUCAGGGCCUGUUAUCUGGAGGAAUGGAUGAACUGUGUUGCCCACAGGCGGGCCUCAAUGGAUCUCUAUGAAUCUUGAAAGGCAUUAUGGGCUUGUGAUUAUAUUCCCUACUGAUUCCCCAGGCCACAGCUGUCUGUAUUGAUAGCUAAGUGAGCAGCAGAAUAGUUAAUAAGGACAAAGCCAAGGAUGACUGAGGAUAAUUUGUGAAAAAUAGAGUGUCAUAAAUUUAGGGACUGAAUAGAAUAUUCCCACAAAGGAGAGAUCCAAUGGAGCAUUUCCAGAAGGGACAAACCCUGUUCAGAAAGUCUGGCUUAUCUCUUAAAAAUACACAAAUAAAAAAUCAUAAUAUUUCAGCUUCAUCUUAAAGCAUAGCCCCAAUUUUAUCUUGAAAAACACUGAAAAGGAAAAGAAUCUGAAAAGGUAUAAAACUCCCGUCUGCCAUAUGGUACCUCUGAAAUGGCAGUAUUGGGAAAUAUACCUUCCUGGGUUGUCACCUCUUAUGGGUUAAACUGUGUCUCUCCUUCCCCCCUCCCUUACCCCCUGCCAGAUUUAUAUAUGGAAGUCCUAACCCCUAGAACCUCAUAGUGUGACUAUAUUUAGAAAUAAGAUCUUUAAAGGGAUGAUUAAGUUAAAAUGAGGCCAUAGGAUAGGGCCUCAUUCAAUCUGACUGACAUCCUUAUGAAAAGAGGAAAUUUAGACAUGCAAAGAGACACCAAGGAUGUGUGUGUGCAUAGGAUAGACCACGUGAGAAUAAAGCAAGAAGGUGGCCAUCUACAAGCCAAGGAGAGAGACAUUAGAAGAUACCAGUAUUGGAAGAUUAGAAGAUAUCAAGAUUGGAUUUCCAGCUGCCAGAACUAGGAAAAAAUAAAUUUCUAGUAUGAGCCACUCAGUCUGUGGUAUUUUGUUAUGGCAGCCCUAGCAAGCUAAUAUACCAUCCGACAAAAGAUACUAGCAAAAGAUACAACCACAUAACUGAACGAGGUGCUAUACUGGAGAAGAGGGAAUUAUAGACAUAUAAACAAAUCAUGGGACAUCUACUAAAACCUUUCCAAAAGGUAGUUUGCAGCCAUCUAGCAAUCAUUCGAGUGCAGACUCAGUUGUCUAUUGAGGUUACUUACGGUUUGUAAUCAAGUCAUGUCACUGGCUUAUAGAAAAAUACUUAUUUUAGAUUUUUCUAUAAUGGGAAGGUAUGAAUCUAUUUCAUUCAAGUAGGAGCUGAUUUUUUGGUUUGUUUUUGCUUCUGUUUUUUGAGACAGAGUCUCACUCUGUCAUCCAGGCUGGAGUGCAGUGGCACAAUCUUGGCUCACUGCAACUUCCAUCUUCCGGGUUCAAGCGAUUCCCAGCUAAGUUUUUUGUAUUUGUAGUAGAGAUGGGGAUUUUACCAUGUUGUCCAGGCUGGUCUCGAACUCCUGACCUCAAUUGAUCCAUCCCCAUCAGCCUCCCAAAUUGUUGGAAUUACAGGCCUAAGCCACCACACCCGGCCAAGACCAACGAAUUUUAAUGUAACAGCAUAAUAAACAUGCAUGAUACAAUUUCAGAUUCCACAUCACAACAAAUCUUUAAGGUGCUACCACUCAUUGAGUUUUAAUAUAGCAUCACAGAAAAAAUAUCCAUAAUUAUCUGAAAAUAGUAUUAAAGUACUCUAUUGUCUGCUGUAUAUCUGUAUGAAAGUGGAUGUUCUUCACAAUCUUAAACUAAAAUAACAUAUCCCAACAGAUGGAAUGUAGAAACAUAUGAUGUUCUAGCUGUCUUGAAGAGAUUUGCAAAAAUGUUAAUGCUAUUCAGAAAUAUUUUAUGAAAAAUAAUUAUUUUUCAUAAUGAGGUAUCACUUAUAUAGACAUGUAAUGGGUUUAUUUUAUUUUUAAUAAACAAAUACACAAAUAUGUUGAAAA
ensembl:lncRNA HTR5A-AS1 HTR5A antisense RNA 1